GUCGAACGGGAAGAGAUGAAGAGCUUGCUCUUUAUCGAAUCCAGUGGCAAACGGGUGAGUAACACGUAAACAACCUGCCUUCAGGAUGGGGACAACAGACGGAAACGACUGCUAAUACCGAAUACGUUCCACGGGCCGCAUGACCUGUGGAAGAAAGGGUAGCCUCUACCUGUAAGCUAUCGCCUGAAGAGGGGUUUGCGUCUGAUUAGGCAGUUGGUGGGGUAACGGCCCACCAAACCAACGAUCAGUAGCCGGUCUGAGAGGAUGAACGGCCACACUGGAACUGAGACACGGUCCAGACUCCUACGGGAGGCAGCAGUGGGGAAUCUUCCGCAAUGGACGAAAGUCUGACGGAGCAACGCCGCGUGAGUGAAGACGGCCUUCGGGUUGUAAAGCUCUGUGAUCCGGGACGAAAGAGCCUGAGGUAAAUAGCCUAAGGAAGUGACGGUACCGGAAAAGCAAGCCACGGCUAACUACGUGCCAGCAGCCGCGGUAAUACGUAGGUGGCAAGCGUUGUCCGGAAUUAUUGGGCGUAAAGCGCGCGCAGGCGGCUUCCUAAGUCCAUCUUAAAAGUGCGGGGCUUAACCCCGUGAUGGGAUGGAAACUGGGAAGCUGGAGUAUCGGAGAGGAAAGUGGAAUUCCUAGUGUAGCGGUGAAAUGCGUAGAGAUUAGGAAGAACACCGGUGGCGAAGGCGACUUUCUGGACGAA
rnacentral:rRNA from 1 species